rnacentral:rRNA from 1 species
CAGCCGUAAACUAUGCGCGUUAGGUGUAUCGGUGACCACGAGUUACCGAGGUGCCGAAGGGAAACCGUGAAACGUGCCGCCUGGGAAGUACGGUCGCAAGGCUGAAACUUAAAGGAAUUGGCGGGGGAGCAUCACAACAGGUGGAGCCUGCGGUUUAAUUGGACUCAACGCCGGGAAGCUCACCGGAUAGGACAGCAGAAUGAUUGCCGGGCUGAAGACCCUGCAUGACUAGCUGAGAGGAGGUGCAUGGCGUCAGUGACU